GUAAGGAAUAUUGGACAAUGGGCGAAAGCCUGAUCCAGCCAUCCCGCGUGCAGGAUGAAGGCCCUCUGGGUUGUAAACUGCUUUUACCAGGGAAGAAACCCCCGAGUUAUGUUGGGGUUGACGGUACCUGGGGAAUAAGCACCGGCUAACUCCGUGCCAGCAGCCGCGGUAAUACGGGGGGUGCAAGCGUUAUCCGGAAUCACUGGGUUUAAAGGGUGCGUAGGCGGCAUGAUAAGUCAGAGGUGAAAGCUUCCCGCUUAACGGGAGAACUGCCUUUGAUACUGUCGAGCUUGAAUUGGCGCGAGGCAAGCGGAAUGUGGCAUGUAGCGGUGAAAUGCUUAGAUAUGCCAUAGAACACCUAUUGCGAAGGCAGCUUGCCAGAGCUUUAUUGACGCUGAGUCACGAAAGCGUGGGGAUCGAACAGGAUUAGAAACCCCGGUAGUCC
rnacentral:rRNA from 1 species